UACAAAUCCCAGCAUGCAACGCUCUGGGCUGCGGCGGUGUAUUCUGGGGCCACUGUGUCUGCCAUCUGCAGGGGAAAAAAAGGAGGAGAGAGAGAAGAGACAGAUUCAGUUGGCCUCAUGCUAUCUUCAUUGGAUCUUCUUUGGAAAGAUUAAGUUAGAGUAUGAAGGAACAUUAUUUACUGAGUGGAGUGUGCCAGAAACUUGUUUUGUGCUAAAUAAAAGCUCACCCACGACAGAAUUGCGUUGUUCCUCACCUGGUGUUCAC
rnacentral:lncRNA from 1 species